AUUGAACGCUGGCGGCGUGCUUAACACAUGCAAGUCGUGCGGUAACAGGCGUAGCAAUACGUGCUGACGAGCGGCGAACGGGUGCGUAAUACAUGGGAAUCUGCCCUUUAGUGGGGAAUAACCCGGCGAAAGCCGGGCUAAUGCCGCAUAAGAUCUUCGGAUGAAAGCGGGGGAGUCGUAAGACCUCGCGCUGAUGGAUGAGCCCAUGUCGGAUUAGCAGUUGGUGAGGUAACGGCUCACCAAGGCGACGAUCCGUAGCUGGUCUGAGAGGACGGCCAGCCACACUGGGACUGAGACACGGCCCAGACUCCUACGGGAGGCAGCAGUGGGGAAGUAUUGGACAAUGGGGGAAACCCUGAUCCAGCGACGCCGCGUGUGUGAAGAAGGCC
rnacentral:rRNA from 1 species